GAUGAACGCUGGCGGCGUGCCUAAUACAUGCAAGUCGAGCGAACAGACGAGGAGCUUGCUCCUCUGACGUUAGCGGCGGACGGGUGAGUAACACGUGGAUAACCUACCUAUAAGACUGGGAUAACUUCGGGAAACCGGAGCUAAUACCGGAUAAUAUAUUGAACCGCAUGGUUCAAUAGUGAAAGACGGUUUUGCUGUCACUUAUAGAUGGAUCCGCGCCGCAUUAGCUAGUUGGUAAGGUAACGGCUUACCAAGGCAACGAUGCGUAGCCGACCUGAGAGGGUGAUCGGCCACACUGGAACUGGGACACGGUCCAUACGCCUACGAGAGGCAGCAGUAGGGAAUCUUCCGCAAUGGGCGAAAGCCUGACGGAGCAACGCCGCGUGAGUGAUGAAGGUCUUCGGAUCGUAAAACUCUGUUAUUAGGGAAGAACAAAUGUGUAAGUAACUAUGCACGUCUUGACGGUACCUAAUCAGAAAGCCACGGCUAACUACGUG
rnacentral:rRNA from 1 species